rnacentral:rRNA from 1 species
CUUUCAACAACGGAUCUCUUGGCUCUUGCAUCGAUGAAGAACGCAGCGAAAUGCGAUAAGUAAUGUGAAUUGCAGAAUUCCGUGAAUCAUCAAAUCUUUGAACGCAAAUUGCACUCCUUGGUAUUCCGAGGAGUAUGCUUGCUUGAGGGUUGUU